rnacentral:tRNA from 1 species
GGUCGCGUGGCCUAAUGGUUAAGGUGAGCCCUCUCUCAUCAUAACAAUAUUGAUCAAGGUCUGAUUUACGUCAAGGCGUUGGUUUUCGGCACCAAAGAUUUGUGCGUUCGAAUCGCACCGUGAUCG